rnacentral:rRNA from 1 species
UGUUUAACGGCCGCGGUAUCCUGACCGUGCAAAGGUAGCAUAAUCAUUUGUUCUCUAAAUAAGGACUUGUAUGAAUGGCCGCACGAGGGUUUUACUGUCUCUUACUUCCAAUCAGUGAAAUUGACCUUCCCGUGAAGAGGCGGGAAUGCACAAAUAAGACGAGAAGACCCUAUGGAGCUUUAACUAACCAACCCAAAGAGAAUAAAUUUAACCAUUAAGGAGUAACAACAAUCUCCAUGAGUUGGUAGUUUCGGUUGGGGUGACCUCGGAGAAUAAAAAACCCUCCGAGCGAUUUUAAAGACUAGACCCACAAGUCAAAUCACUCUAUCGCUCAUUGAUCCAAAAACUUGAUCAACGGAACAAGUUACCCUAGGGAUAACAGCGCAAUCCUAUUCAAGAGUCCAUAUCGACAAUAGGGUUUACGACCUCGAUGUUGGAUCAGGACAUCCUGAUGGUGCAACCGCUAUCAAAGGUUCGUUUGUUCAACGAUUAAAGUCCUACGUGAUCUGAGUUCAAAACCGGAG